GGGGUUAUAGCUCAACUGGAAGAGUACUUGAUUUGCAUUCAAGCGGUUGAGAGUUCGAUUCUCUCUAACUCCACCA
rnacentral:tRNA from 1 species